GCUUUUAGAAUUUGACAGAGAGCUGUCAGUUUUUAAAGACAGAUUGUAUGAACUGGACAUCUCAUUUCCUCCCAGUUACCCAUACAGUGAAGACUGUAGCCAAGGAAAGCAGUACAUGAAUACUAGAUGUCCAGCUUGGUGUGACAGGAUUCUAAUGUCGCAUUCAGCCAAGGAACUGAUUCUAAAAUCAGAAAAUGAUGAGAAGAUAGUGAUAUAUGACCAUAUUGGGCCAAAUGUCUGCAUGGGGGAUCACAAGCCUGUGUUCCUGUCCUUUCGAAUAGCUGCUGGGGCAGGUAAACCUAUUGCAAAUGUGCAAAAGUGUUGUGUCGUGCAGUGAUGUGGUGGAAAAAGAUGCCUACGAAACGAGAAGAUCUUUCGUGAAACCACACUGUAGCAUGGAGGAAGAAAGAAUAAGCAGUAUAUUGAAAUGCAUAAUCGUAACAGCUGUAUUGAUAAAUCAAGUACUGAGUGCCACAUUUUUAGACUGCUGAUCGUACACUAUGCUUCAGCAUCUGGACUCUGUUCGAGAAAAGCCUCACAUACCUCACUGUCUUGUAUGUUCAUGUGACAUCAAGUAGAAAUGUGGAAUUAUUUUUUAUAUAUAUUAUGUCACAGUUUUGUUGCCAAAACUCUAAUAGACAGCAGAGAAAUUCUGUAUUUUAGAUUUCAGAGUUUUCAACUUUUAAUAAAUGUUUGUCAAUGUGGAAAAGCUACUUCAGCAUAUUAUAUAAACUUUUAAAGGUGUCAUGCCUAACCUUAUAUAUCUUUACCACUUGGGGUUUUGUACAUUGGAUUGUACAGAUAGAGAUAUUGAUGGUUUUAAAUGGUAUUUUCUUUGUUGACCAAGGCUUAUGGUUUGUUUUAGUUUUAGAAUUUUGUUUUUCAUUUUUAUAGAUUUUUUUCUCAUGUUAUUUACUAUACUGCCAUGUUACAUGGUUUUGAAUCACACAGCAGCUGCUUUCUAUACAUACAUAUAUAUAUGUGUGUGUGUGUGUAUAUAUAUAUAUGUAUGUGUGUGUAUAUACACAGAUAUAUAAAUAAUUUAUAAACCUUACCAAAACUUAUGCUAAAUAUACUUUCCAAUAUGAAUGCUUGAGAGUGCCAUAUCAGCAGUUAGUGUUGGAGUCUAAUAGUUUUAGUUAAGUGUAUGUCAAGAACCAACAUUUAUAUAACAAAUAAUAUAUAGCGGUGCCAUCAUUGAUACAGAUAUAUAGUAAACUAUAUAGCACAUAUAUUAGCAGUUUCACUUUGUUACUCCUAUAAUACCUUCUUUCUAUGUAAUAUUAAGGAUUGAAUGUGAAGUUUCUAGGUAGGCUUGGGUGUACCUUUCAAGAAUUUUGUAAACUGUUUUUGUCUGUCUUUUGUUACCGUUUUAUGGUGCCAAGUAUUCUAUAUUAAAACAAUAACAACAUGGGAGAAGAAAAUUAGUAGUCUGCAUCAAAUAGCAACUGCAGUGAACACAGACUGAAUCUAUACAUAGUUGUAGAGGAAAAAAGACUGUAAAUUUUCCUAGUUAGUAGCUAUGUGCAACCUACAACAUAACCUUGUUACCACCAUUUUUCUCCCACCACUAAGUACAACAUUAAAAGGUGAUUAGAGAGUCUAUUGAUGAAACACAAAUGUAUGUUUUAUUGAUUUAAUUUAGAACACUACAGAGUUCAUGGACUGUGUGAUGGCAUUAGAUUGAUGCUUGAUUUUGGUAUAAAUCACUACCUUUGAAAAUGAUUUGAUGUCCACUCUAAGAAUGUUUUCGGGACAGUACAAUAUGGGUUUGUAUUAAGUACUGUUAUCCAAAGGUUAUCUGCAGCUCUGUAAUGUCAUUGUGCCAUGUUGCAAUAUAACCACACAAUAAUUCUAUUUAACAUAAGUACAACACACAGUAACUUUGAAGGCCUUUAGAAAUGAAUAUUCUGUUUCUCAAGCAAUAAAACUGAUCAUCAUGGU